CGAAUGCUGACAUAAGUAACGAUAAAGCGGGUGAAAAGCCCGCUCGCCGGAAGACCAAGGGUUCCUGUCCAACGUUAAUCGGGGCAGGGUGAGUCGACCCCUAAGGCGAGGCCGAAAGGCGUAGUCGAUGGGAAACAGGUUAAUAUUCCUGUACUUGGUGUUACUGCGAAGGGGGGACGGAGAAGGCUAUGUUGGCCGGGCGACGGUUGUCCCGGUUUAAGCGUGUAGGCUGGUUUUCCAGGCAAAUCCGGAAAAUCAAGGCUGAGGCGUGAUGACGAGGCACUACGGUGCUGAAGCAACAAAUGCCCUGCUUCCAGGAAAAGCCUCUAAGCAUCAGGUAACAUCAAAUCGUACCCCAAACCGACACAGGUGGUCAGGUAGAGAAUACCAAGGCGCUUGAGAGAACUCGGGUGAAGGAACUAGGCAAAAUGGUGCCGUAACUUCGGGAGAAGGCACGCUGAUAUGUAGGUGAAGUCCCUCGCGGAUGGAGCUGAAAUCAGUCGAAGAUACCAGCUGGCUGCAACUGUUUAUUAAAAACACAGCACUGUGCAAACACGAAAGUGGACGUAUACGGUGUGACGCCUGCCCGGUGCCGGAAGGUUAAUUGAUGGGGUCAGCGCAAGCGAAGCUCUUGAUCGAAGCCCCGGUAAACGGCGGCCGUAACUAUAACGGUCCUAAGGUAGCGAAAUUCCUUGUCGGGUAAGUUCCGACCUGCACGAAUGGCGUAAUGAUGGCCAGGCUGUCUCCACCCGAGACUCAGUGAAAUUGAACUCGCUGUGAAGAUGCAGUGUACCCGCGGCAAGACGGAAAGACCCCGUGAACCUUUACUAUAGCUUGACACUGAACAUUGAGCCUUGAUGUGUAGGAUAGGUGGGAGGCUUUGAAGUGUGGACGCCAGUCUGCAUGGAGCCGACCUUGAAAUACCACCCUUUAAUGUUUGAUGUUCUAACGUGGACCCGUGAUCCGGGUUGCGGACAGUGUCUGGUGGGUAGUUUGACUGGGGCGGUCUCCUCCUAAAGAGUAACGGAGGAGCACGAAGGUUGGCUAAUCCUGGUCGGACAUCAGGAGGUUAGUGCAAUGGCAUAAGCCAGCUUGACUGCGAGCGUGACGGCGCGAGCAGGUGCGAAAGCAGGUCAUAGUGAUCCGGUGGUUCUGAAUGGAAGGGCCAUCGCUCAACGGAUAAAAGGUACUCCGGGGAUAACAGGCUGAUACCGCCCAAGAGUUCAUAUCGACGGCGGUGUUUGGCACCUCGAUGUCGGCUCAUCACAUCCUGGGGCUGAAGUAGGUCCCAAGGGUAUGGCUGUUCGCCAUUUAAAGUGGUACGCGAGCUGGGUUUAGAACGUCGUGAGACAGUUCGGUCCCUAUCUGCCGUGGGCGCUGGAGAACUGAGGGGGGCUG
rnacentral:rRNA from 1 species